rnacentral:piRNA from 1 species
UGAAGAGAAUACUAGGGAGAG